GAUGAACGCUAGCUACAGGCUUAACACAUGCAAGUCGAGGGGAAACGAUAUUGGAAGCUUGCUUCCGAUAGGCGUCGACCGGCGCACGGGUGAGUAACGCGUAUCCAACCUGCCCACCACUUGGGGAUAACCUUGCGAAAGUAAGACUAAUACCCAAUGACGUCCAUAGAAGACAUCUGAAAUGGAUUAAAGAUUUAUCGGUGAUGGAUGGGGAUGCGUCUGGUUAGCUUGUUGGCGGGGUAACGGCCCACCAAGGCGACGAUCAGUAGGGGUUCUGAGAGGAAGGUCCCCCACAUUGGAACUGAGACACGGUCCAAACUCCUACGGGAGGCAGCAGUGAGGAAUAUUGGUCAAUGGGCGAGAGCCUGAACCAGCCAAGUAGCGUGCAGGAUGACGGCCCUAUGGGUUGUAAACUGCUUUUAUAAGGGAAUAAAGUGAGCCUCGUGAGGCUUUUUGCAUGUACCUUAUGAAUAAGGACCGGCUAAUUCCGUGCCAGCAGCCGCGGUAA
rnacentral:rRNA from 1 species